GACGAACGCUGGCGGCGUGCCUAAUACAUGCAAGUUGAGCGCUGAAGGUUGGUACUUGUACCAACUGGAUGAGCAGCGAACGGGUGAGUAACGCGUGGGGAAUCUGCCUUUGAGCGGGGGACAACAUUUGGAAACGAAUGCUAAUACCGCAUAAAAACUUUAAACACAAGUUUUAAGUUUGAAAGAUGCAAUUGCAUCACUCAAAGAUGAUCCCGCGUUGUAUUAGCUAGUUGGUGAGGUAAAGGCUCACCAAGGCGAUGAUACAUAGCCGACCUGAGAGGGGGGUCGGCCACAUUUGGAAUGAGACACGGCCCAAAACCCCACGGGAGGCAGCAGGAGGGAAUCUUCGGGAAUGGACGAAAGUCUGACCGAGCAACGCCGCGGGAGUGAAGAAGGUUUUCGGAUCGUAAAACUCGGUUGGUAGAGAAGAACGUUGGUGGGAGUGGAAAGCUCAUCAAGUGACGGUAACUACCCAGAAAGGGACGGCUAACUACGUG
rnacentral:rRNA from 1 species